AUCAAUUCCGGUCCAAGACCUUGAGCAUUUCAUACUUUCUUUGAAAAGGACAACCCGACACUAAGUCCGUAAGUCAGACAUUACUUACGAGCACAUCUAGGUGAUCAGCCUAUAGUACUCUAUGUUGUACAACACUACAUUCUUUAAACGUAUGUACGUUUAAGUUGUGGCAACCUCACGUGUCUGUCAUUUGACGACAAAAUAUUUGUUUAGCAUACUCGGUCUUCAUUUGAAAACCAUACCAAAAUAGUUUGGCAAAACAUUGAUAAUACUUUGAUAGAUUAUAAGAAAUCCAACAUAUCGUAAGUCUAGUCGAAAGAAUUGGCUUCGACUUCAUCAUACAUCAAUUCAUGCGUAAGAAUACAUGAAUCACAAAAGUUGUCCAGAUUGAACAUAGACAAUGGUUAGAACACUUGCCUUCAGCAUCUGCUACUGUUAUUAUACUUUUUCUUCAAGUCUUUUGAGUCUCUACAAUACAUAACCACAUAACAUACCACAUUAGGUCAUAAUCAGAUAUGUAUGGUACCUAACGUAUCUUACCUUUCUUCUCAAUCUAAUUAUUUAUUAGAUUUGUUAUUAUUGGUUCCGGC
rnacentral:lncRNA from 1 species